AUCUAUAGCCAUGCUACCCUAAACAAGCCCAAUCCUUUCUAAUUUCUGAAGCUAAGCAGGCCUGGUUAGUACUUGGAUGGGAGGCCAACUAGGAAGACCGGGUGCUGUAGGCC
rnacentral:rRNA from 1 species